rnacentral:rRNA from 1 species
GAUGAACGCUGGCGGCGUGCCUAAUACAUGCAAGUCGAACGGUCGACUUCGGUCGAUAGUGGCGAACGGGUGAGUAACGCGUUGGUGACCUGCCCCGAAGAGUGGGAUAACAGGCCGAAAGGCCUGCUAAUACCGCAUGAGCUAGCCAUAGUUUAGGAAAUGGUUAGGAAAGGAGAAAUCCGCUUUGGGAGGGGCCUGCGUCCCAUCAGCUAGUUGGUAAGGUAACGGCUUACCAAGGCGAUGACGGGUAGGGGACCUGAGAGGGUGACCCCCACAAUAGGACGUAGAACAACGUCCGACUACACCUACCGGGAGGGCUCG